GACGAACGCUGGCGGCGUGCUUAACACAUGCAAGUCGAACGGAAAGGCCCUGCUUUUGUGGGGUGCUCGAGUGGCGAACGGGUGAGUAACACGUGAGUAACCUGCCCUUGACUUUGGGAUAACUUCAGGAAACUGGGGCUAAUACCGGAUAGGAGCUCCUGCUGCAUGGUGGGGGUUGGAAAGUUUCGGCGGUCGGGGAUGGACUCGCGGCUUAUCAGCUUGUUGGUGGGGUAGUGGCUUACCAAGGCUUUGACGGGUAGCCGGCCUGAGAGGGUGACCGGCCACAUUGGGACUGCGAUACGGACCAGAAUCCUACGGGAGGCAGCAGUGGGGAAUAUUGCACAAUGGGCGGAAGCCUGAUGCAGAAACGCCGCGUGCGGGAUGACGGGCUUCGGGUUGUAAACCGCUUUCGAAUGUGACGAAGCGUGAGUGACGGUAAUGGGUAAAGAAGCCCCGGCUAACUACGUG
rnacentral:rRNA from 1 species